GGCGGCAUGGCCGAGUGGUAAGGCGGGGGACUGCAAAUCUUUUUUCCCAGUUCAAAUCCGGGUAUCGCCU
rfam:Cajanus cajan Scaffold120542_1, whole genome shotgun sequence.